rnacentral:rRNA from 1 species
UAGUACCGUGAGGGAAAGUUGAAAAGAACUUUGAAGAGAGAGUUCAAUAGUACGUGAAACCGUUCAGGGGUAAACCUGAGAAACCCAAAAGAUCGAAUGGGGAGAUUCAUCGUCAGCCGGCUUGGCUUACGUGUGGUUCGCGAUGAUCGGAGCCCUCGGGUUCUCGCGUCACGCAAUCGCUGCGUUUUAUGUCCGAGUCGCGCCGGCGUGCACUUCUCCCCUAGUAGGACGUCGCGAUUCGUUGGGUGUCGGUUUACGGACCGGUAGGUAGACUGGCGUGUUACGUUCGCGCGUUCAACUCGCCAGACCUCUGGAUUCCCAACCGGCUGCCCGACGAUAGAAAAUUUUUUUCAAUGGCAUUGGGCCGCGUUGAACGCGUUUUUGGCUCGUCGGCAGAUUUCUCUCGCUCGGAUUUACGGACCUAGCGCCGUUGCCGGGCGCUUGAGGGGUCGUUCGCCGACGAUGUCCUCGAACAGGCUCCAGAAAUAUUCUUAAAGAAUGUGCCGAUCGGCGACGCUACUGCUUUGGGUACUUUCAGGACCCGUCUUGAAAAACCGGACCAAA